rnacentral:rRNA from 1 species
GGAACGAACGCUGGCGGCAUGCCUAACACAUGCAAGUCGAACGAGACCUUCGGGUCUAGUGGCGCACGGGUGCGUAACGCGUGGGAAUCUGCCCUUGGGUUCGGAAUAACAGCGAGAAAUUGCUGCUAAUACCGGAUGAUGACGUAAGUCCAAAGAUUUAUCGCCCAAGGAUGAGCCCGCGUAGGAUUAGCUUGUUGGUGAGGUAAGAGCUCACCAAGGCGACGAUCCUUAGCUGGUCUGAGAGGAUGAUCAGCCACACUGGGACUGAGACACGGCCCAGACUCCUACGGGAGGCAGCAGUGGGGAAUAUUGGACAAUGGGCGAAAGCCUGAUCCAGCAAUGCCGCGUGAGUGAUGAAGGCCUUAGGGUGUAAAGUCUCUUUACCCGGAUGAUAAUGACAGUACCGGAGAAUAAGCUCGGCUACUCCGUGCCAGCAGCCGAC